rnacentral:rRNA from 1 species
UACGUAGGGUGCGAGCGUUGUCCGGAAUUAUUGGGCGUAAAGGGCUCGUAGGCGGUUUGUCGCGUCGGGAGUGAAAACACCGGGCUUAACUCGGUGCUUGCUUUCGAUACGGGCAGACUAGAGGCAUGCAGGGGAGAACGGAAUUCCUGGUGUAGCGGUGAAAUGCGUAGAUAUCUGGAGGAACACCGGUGGCGAAGGCGGCAUCCUGGACCAUUACUGACACUGAAAAGCGAAAGCCAGGGGAGCAAACGGG